GGAGAGGUACCCAAGCUGGCUGAAGGGGACGGUUUGCUAAACCGUUAGACGGUUAACACCCGUGCGGGGGUUCGAAUCCCCCCCUCUCCGCCA
rnacentral:tRNA from 1 species